UGUGGUUGCUCAAGAAGCAAACUGCCUGAUUGGCUCUCUCAGGGCAGGAUGAGCCUCUUCUUCGUAUCUCAUUGACUGAUGACAGUGGCAACGAAGGCAAGUCACAGCCCUGACUUUGGAGACCAUUGAUAGAGAAGAAAGAGCCUCAGGGUAGCCAUCAGGAGACGUGGGUUUGAAUGCUGGCUCUGCAUUGUUCUAAGGUGCAUGACCUGGGCAAGUUUCUUCAUCUCUCGGAUUCUCAGGAUGCCAGCUCUCAAGUGGUGACUAUGGAAUGUCACUCAGAACAAACCAGCUAUCCCUCAUGCUAGACUGUAGGACCAGUAAAGAAAAGCAGGCUUUGAAUCUCCUGCAGGGUCAAGCAAUGGACCGUGAAAAUGGUCUGAGAUUCUCAUACCACUUGAGAGCUGAUUAUAUGGUCAUUACUCCCAGCUCUUCCCCAGCCUUUUUGGGAAGGUGGCAUUUUCUUGGCAAGGGAAAUUCACCCUCUACCCUCCAUUAUCCUUCUAAGAAAAGAUGGCUUGUGUUGCAGAGAUGGGAAGAAGUUCUCUCAGAGAGUCCUCCCAAUUGCAAAGAUGAAAAGGAAUAACAAAGAAAGAGAUUGAAGAGAAAAUAAUUCAGCUACCUCAAUAUAUCAAAGAAAAGUCUGACAUGACAUGCAAAGUUCCAUACCCUUAGAAACCCUACCUCCCUCACUCCUAACCUUGCUUCUGCAAAGGAUUAAGGGAAGAUUGAGAUAUCUCCUCAUACCUUUUGGGUUGACCUGGCUCUUAAUAAUUCUCUAAAAAACAUUUUUAUGAUUAUUUCCAUUUAAAUUAUUGUAAUAUCAAUAGUUUCUCUUGCUCUCCUUAUUUUGUAUCAGUUACUGUAAGUCUUUUCAUUCUUCUCUGUCUUCAUCACAUUUGUUGAUUUUUAUUGCACAGUAAGAUCUCAUUUGUUCAUAUACCACCAUAUAAUUAGCUAUUUCCCCAAUUCAUCAGAAUCUAUUUUGUUUCUAGUUAUUUGCUACCACAAAAAAGUG
rnacentral:lncRNA from 1 species